rnacentral:rRNA from 1 species
AUUGAACGCUGGCGGCAGGCUUAACACAUGCAAGUCGAGCGGGGUGAUGGUGCUUGCACUAUCACUUAGCGGCGGACGGGUGAGUAAUGCUUAGGAAUCUGCCUAUUAGUGGGGGACAACAUCUCGAAAGGGAUGCUAAUACCGCAUACGUCCUACGGGAGAAAGCAGGGGAUCACUUGUGACCUUGCGCUAAUAGAUGAGCCUAAGUCGGAUUAGUUAGUUGGUGGGGUAAAGGCCUACCAAGGCGACGAUCUGUAGCGGGUCGGAGAGGAUGAUCCGCCACACUGGGACUGAGACACGGCCCAGACUCCUACGGGAGGCAGCAGUGGGGAAUAUUGGACAAUGGGGGGAACCCUGAUCCAGCCAUGCCGCGUGUGUGAAGAAGGCCUUAUGGUUGUAAAGCACUUUAAGCGAGGAGGAGGCUCUUUUGGUUAAUACCCAAGAUGAGUGGACGUUACUCGCAGAAUAAGCACCGGCUAACUCUGUGCCAGCCGCCGCAGUAAUAC